GCAGCAAUGGUGUAGUGGUAGCACAUGAGAUUGCAAGAUUGCAGUUAUCUUAGGGUCCGCAGUUCGAACCUGCGUUGUUGCU
rfam:Sphaerulina musiva SO2202 unplaced genomic scaffold SEPMTscaffold_11, whole genome shotgun sequence.